UUGGAAAGGAGGAGAGCUGAGGCAUAGAGAUACAUUAUUGAGAGCUUUCUAAGGGUGUGUGUGACAUAGUUUUACGACAUAGUUUCGCGGUUUUGUGCGACGAGUUUCACGGGUUUGGUGCUUAUGUGAUGAAGCUUGUUUGGUGAUGUGUGAAGGUUGUUCCAGAGACUUGGAGAAUUGAAGUCUAGGCUCAGGGAGAGUUUAGCU